rfam:Salmo salar isolate Sally breed double haploid chromosome ssa13, whole genome shotgun sequence.
CCCCCUGUGGCUCAGUUGGUAGAGCAUGGUGUUUGCAAUGCCAGGGUUGUGGGUUCGAUUCCCACGGGGGGC